rnacentral:rRNA from 1 species
CCUACGGGUGGCAGCAGUGGGGAAUAUUGCGCAAUUGGCGAAAGCCUGACGCAGCGACGCCGCGUGAGGGAUGAAGGUCUUCGGAUCGUAAACCUCUGUCAGCAGGGAAGAACGGUCACUGUGCUAAUCAGCAGUGAAUUGACGGUACCUGCAAAGGAAGCACCGGCUAACUCCGUGCCAGCAGCCGCGGUAAUACGGAGGGUGCGAGCGUUAAUCGGAAUGACUGGGCGUAACGCGCUCGUAGGCGGUAUGUCAAGUCAAGGGUGAAUUCCCCGCGCUCAACGUGGGAACUGCCUUUGAAACUGGCAAACUGGGGGGUGUGAGAGGAUAGUUGAAUUCCAGGUGUAGGAGUGAAAUCCGUAGAUAUCUGGAGGAACAUCAGUGGCGAAGGAGACUAUCUGGCACAUAACUGACGCUGAGGAGCGAAAGCGUGGGUAGCAAACAGGAUUAGAUACCCCUGUAGUC